rnacentral:rRNA from 1 species
AGAACGAACGCUGGCGGCAUGCCUAACACAUGCAAGUCGAACGCUUGCCCGGUUUCGGCCGGGCAGGAGUGGCGCACGGGUGAGUAGCGCGUGGGAACCUGCCCUGUUGUGGGGGAUAACCGAGGGAAACUUCGGCUAAUACCGCAUGCGCCCCGGGGAAACCCGGGGGAAGAUUUAUCGCAGCAGGAGGGGCCCGCGUCGGAUUAGCUAGUUGGUGGGGUAACGGCCCACCAAGGCUGUGAUCCGUAGCUGGUCUGAGAGGAUGAUCAGCCACACUGGGACUGAGACACGGCCCAGACUCCUACGGGAGGCAGCAGUGGGGAAUAUUGGACAAUGGGCGCAAGCCUGAUCCAGCAAUGCCGCGUGAGUGAUGAAGGCCUUAGGGUUGUAAAGCUCUUUCGCCCGCGACGAUGAUGACGGUAGCGGGAGAAGAAGCCCCGGCUAACUUCGUGCCAGCAGCCGC